rnacentral:lncRNA from 1 species
GGACCAGCAUUUGGGCCUAUUUCGUUUUGGGACCAAAGACCCAAUAUUCAACACCUGUCCUAAACUAAUCUUUGAAUUUUGCUUCUCUUUGGGCCUUUGGCCCAACCCUUGUCUCCUUGUACCUGUCCUAGUAACUAACAAAUAAUAAUAAUUACAAUAAAUGAGAUUAGGCCUAAAAUAACAAAAUACAAGUUUCUUUUUGUGCAAAGAGUGGGCCUUUGGCCCAAUCUUUCAAUUCUUCUUUGCUUCGAAUCCUUUCAACUCCAAGACAUGUUCAUCGAUAUUCACGGUUGUCCGACUCAAAAAGAGGAAUUCGAGCCUUUGCGGCUCUCCCGAAAUGCAAGAGGGAAUAAGAGUUCAUGGUGAACUCGGACGGAUUUCACAUAAGAAAGAAUACACAUAAAAAUAAAUUAGUACCUACUUAUAAU